rnacentral:rRNA from 1 species
AUACGUAGGGGGCGAGCGUUGUCCGGAAUUACUGGGCGUAAAGGGUGCGUAGGUGGCAAUUUAAGUUGGAUGUGAAAUCCCCGGGCUUAACCUGGGUGGUGCAUUCAAAACUGGAUAGCUAGAGUGCAGGAGAGGGAAGCGGAAUUCCUAGUGUAGCGGUGAAAUGCGUAGAUAUUAGGAGGAACACCAGUGGCGAAGGCGGCUUUCUGGACUGUAACUGACGCUGAGUCACGAAAGCGUGGGUAGC